CAGCCAUAUCAUGUGAAAACAUUGGUUCUCAUAUGAUCACUGAAGUUAAGCAAUGUUGAGCCUAGUCAGUACCUAGAUGGGUGACUGCUUGGGAAUACCAAAUAAU